rnacentral:misc_RNA from 1 species
GAUGAAGAACGUAGCGAAAUGCGAUAAGUAAUGCGAAUUGCAGAAUUCAGUGAAUCAUCGAGUCUUUGAACGCACAUUGCGCCCCCUGGUAUUCCGGGGGGCAUGCCUAUCCGAGCGUCAUUGCUGCCCUCAAGCACGGCUUGUGUGUUGGGCCCCGUCCUCCGAUCCCGGGGGACGGGCCCGAAAGGCAGCGGCGGCACCGCGUCCGGUCCUCGAGCGUAUGGGGCUUUGUCACCCGCUCUGUAGGCCCGGCCGGCGCUUGCCGAUCAACCCAAAUUUUUUAUCCAGGUUGACCUCGGAUCAGGUAGGGAUACCCGCUGAACUUAAGCAUAUCAAUAAGCGGAGGA